rnacentral:rRNA from 1 species
GAGUUUGAUCCUGGCUCAGGACGAACGCUGGCGGCGUGCCUAAUACAUGCAAGUUGAACGAUGAUUUCUGGUACUUGUAUCAGAAUGAAGAGUAGCGAACGGGUGAGUAACGCGUGGGUAACCUACCUCUUAGCGGGGGACAACUAUUGGAAACGAUAGCUAAUACCGCAUAACAAUAUUAAACACAUGUUUAACAUUUGAAAGUACCAAUUGGUACACUAGGAGAUGGACCCGCGUUGUAUUAGCUAGUUGGUAGUGUAAUGGACUACCAAGGCGAUGAUACAUAGCCGACCUGAGAGGGUGAUCGGCCACAUUGGGACUGAGACACGGCCCAAACUCCUACGGGAGGCAGCAGUAGGAAAUCUUCGGCAAUGGACGAAAGUCUGACCGAGCAACGCCGCGUGAGUGAAGAAGGUUUUCGGAUCGUAAAACUCUGUUGUUAGAGAAGAACGUUGUGUAGAGUGGAAAAUUACACAAGUGACGGUAUCUAACCAGAAAGGGACGGCUAACUACGUGCCAGCAGCCGCGGUAAUACGUAGGUCCCGAGCGUUGUCCGGAUUUAUUGGGCGUAAAGCGAGCGCAGGUGGUUUAAUAAGUCUGAUGUAAAAGGCAGUGGCUCAACCAUUGUGUGCAUUGGAAACUGUUAGACUUGAGUGCAGUAGAGGAGAGUGGAAUUCCAUGUGUAGCGGUGAAAUGCGUAGAUAUAUGGAGGAACACCGGUGGCGAAAGCGGCUCUCUGGACUGUAACUGCCACUGAGGCUCGAAAGCGUGGGUAGCAAACAGGAUUAGAUACCCUGGUAGUCCACGCCGUAAACGAUGAGUGCUAGUUGUUUG